rnacentral:rRNA from 1 species
UGGGGAAUAUUGCGCAAUGGGCGAAAGCCUGACGCAGCCAUACCGCGUGUGUGAAGAAGGCCUUCGGGUUGUAAAGCACUUUCAGUGGGGAGGAAAAGCUGGUGGCUAAUAUCCACUGGCUGUGACGCUACCCACAGAAGAAGCACCGGCUAAUUCCGUGCCAGCAGCCGCGGUAAUACGGAAGGUGCGAGCGUUAAUCGGAAUUACUGGGCGUAAAGCGCACGUAGGCGGCUUGGUAAGUCGGAUGUGAAAGCCCCGGGCUCAACCUGGGAACUGCAUUCGAUACUGCUGAGCUAGAGUACGAAAGAGGGGGGUGGAAUUCCAGGUGUAGCGGUGAAAUGCGUAGAGAUCUGGAGGAACACCAGUGGCGAAGGCGGCCCCCUGGUUCGAUACUGACGCUGAGGUGCGAAAGCGUGGGGAGCAAACAGG